UGAUGCCUACGGGACGCAGCAGUGGGGAAUAUUGCACAAUGGGGGGAACCCUGAUGCAGCGACGCCGCGUGGGUGAGGAAGUACUUCGGUAUGUAAAGCCCUAUCAGCAGGGAAGAAAAUGACGGUACCUGACUAAGAAGCCCCGGCUAACUACGUGCCAGCAGCCGCGGUAAUACGUAGGGGGCAAGCGUUAUCCGGAUUUACUGGGUGUAAAGGGAGCGUAGACGGAGGAGCAAGUCUGAUGUGAAAAUCCGGGGCCCAACCCCGGAACUGCAUUGGAAACUGUUUAUCUAGAGUGUCGGAGG
rnacentral:rRNA from 1 species